rnacentral:lncRNA from 1 species
UGUGGGUUUUCUUUCUUUCUUUUUUUUUUCUUUGAUACAUAAGGAGCCACACUGAAGAGAAGCACUCUGAAUUCAGUGACAGUAGGAAAGCUGUGACCUGCAGCUCUUCCUCACUUGGCAUUGAAGAAUUCAUUCCAGAGAUAAACUCUAUAAGAUAUGUGGGAAGGACUUUUGCAAGUGGGCCCACAUCAGUCAACGUCAGAGAACUUAAACAGGGAAAAGACAUUGUGACAAAAACUAGUGAAGAAAAUCUUUUGGCCACAGGAAAUAUCUUCCUCAGCAUCAGAGAAUUUUUCCAGGAGGGAGACUAUUGGUUUUUGUGCACUUGAAAGAACCACCCACAUCUCCCUCCAUAGUUUGUAUCCCUAAGCCACCUCAGGAAUUUUUUUUCUUUUAAGUAAGAAGGGAACUGUAAAAGAGAAAAAAAUUCAUGCACAGCUUCUGUCAGACUUCUCUGAAAGCCAUGCCUAUCAAAAUUUGAAUUCAGUUCUUCAUUUUGCAGAUGGCUGAAAGGUGCAAGGGCCUUGCCUCAUUAUUUGUCCUUUAUAUGUAUUCACUCCUGUCUACAGGAGAAUUGUCCUCUGUAAAGACUGACUCUGUAAAGAUUUAUUGAAUGCAUUCUUUGUUCUAAAACAUUGUACUCCUGAGGAACGUAAGUCUUUGUGAGAAAUAUGAAUGCUUAAGUAAUGGAAUAUGUGAAACUUGUAAGAACGUAGAAUAUAAAAAUACUGCCAUAUAAAAUCAUUUCAUAUCUAAGGAGAUAAGUAUCCACAUUGAAUUGGCAUAUUUUGCUGCAUCAUUUAAGACUAUUUAAGAUUUUAAGUUAAAAAAAAAAUUCUUCAUGUGGUUUUGAACACCCAGCACUCGAUAUACUUGUUUGUUUUGAUUUAUUUUCUCAGGGACAAGAGAAUGAUGGUGAAGCUGUGUUGCUUUCCCAGAGACUUUUUCUAACUCCUCUAACUAAUCAGCAAAACACUACUACAGAGAGAAAGAGGAUUGCCAGAAGACUACCAAUUGAACAAAUAGACUAUUCUGGAAUUGGUAACUCACAUAAAAAAUUGCAUAAUCUCGUGCUGCCUCUGGGGAAUGUUAAAAUUCUACAAAGUUAUUGUAUAACUCUAUGAAGCUCUUUCCCCAUAUUAUGAUUUUCUUGGGCUUAGAAUUGAAUAUAUCUCAAUAUUGUAUAUUAAGGUAUAAUUAUAAUGAGAUAUUUGAAAUCCAAAAUAAAAUUCUUUGACCAUAUCAAAGUCCUCCUUGGCAGUUCCUUCUCUCGAAGAUUGACAUUCACAGAUCUCCAGUUACACCCAUGCUCCUGCUCACAGUUAGCAACACACAAAUGAAUAGCAAAUGGUGUCAGAAAAACAAUCCUGAACACCUGUGUAUGUUUGUUUGCUUUUGGCAUUUCAUUCAACUGCUAGCUAUAAAUUAAUUAUCAUAGUCAAAAUUAAUUUAUUUCCCCCUCCUCUAUUUCCCAGUAGUACUUUCUUUAUUCUGCAAUUAUGGCACCUAGCACAUUUUCCCAUGCAUUGCAAAACUAAUGUCUGCUCAGAACUCUACAAUUUAUAAAGCAUUUAUUACAUAUAUUUAAGUCAUCUUAUUCUCUUUGCAGUCCUAUGACUUAGAUAGAACCAGUAUUAAUAAGAAAUGAGGAAUAGAAACCUGAAACUCAGAAAGGGAAAUCCUGGUCUGAG